rnacentral:misc_RNA from 1 species
UCUCCGUAGGUGAACCUGCGGAGGGAUCAUUACUGAGUGAGGGUCUCCGGGCCCGACCUCCAACCCUUUGUGAACCCCAUCUCGUUGCUUCGGGGGCGACCCUGCCGUUCGCGGCGUGGGGCCCCCGGAGCCCAUCAAACCCUGCAUCUUUGCGUCGGAGUCUUAAUGAAUUUAAACAAAACUUUCAACAACGGAUCUCUUGGUUCGGGCAUCGAUGAAGAACGCAGC